rnacentral:misc_RNA from 1 species
GAUGAAGAACGCAGCGAAAUGCGAUAAGUAAUGUGAAUUGCAGAUUUCAGUGAAUCAUCGAAUCUUUGAACGCACCUUGCGCCUUGUGGUAUUCCACAAGGCAUGCCCGUUUGAGUAUCAUUAAAUCAUCAACUCUAAAACCUUUGUGGUUUUUUUUAGAGCUUGGUCUUGAGGGUUUUGCAGGCUUUUUUUUUUUUCGAGUCUGCUCCCUUUAAAUGCAUUAGCGAGACUUCCCUAUGCUGAACCGUCUCUUUGACGUGAUAAUUAUCUGCGUCGAAUUUUGGUUCUCGUUGGGCUUGCUUCUAAUCGUCUGUUAAAGACAAAACGGAUUUGGGUGCAUAUAUGCGCCUUUUUCCAAAACCUUUUUUUGAUCUCAAAUCGGGUAGGACUACCCGCUGAACUUAAGCAUAUCAAUAAGCGGAGGA